CCAAAGCCCGUGCCUUCCCUGCUGCGUGUACCCCGACACGGCAUCGAGCCCCGACUGUAUCUCAGCGCACCCCACGGUCCCGCAGCCGCUGCUCCCCCCCAGCAGCAUCCCCCCUCUGUGUGCAGUCAGCGCUUCCCAUCAGCCAGGCACUGGCUGGGUUCUGUAACCUGUAUUCUGGGAAAACCAGGGAACAGAUGGCGUCAGAGCUAUUUUCACAGCGAAUAACAGGAAUUCCCACCUCUCCAGGAGAACUAAACUUGCAGUGUCACACGCAUUUCUCUCAGGAUGGGGACCCCUAGCCAGUGAUAAAGGUGUCCUGCCAUAUGUCAGCAACAGGAAGAACACCAAGUUUGCUCUUUGCCUGUUUCCCAGACAUAACCUUUCCUUCCAACCACCUCUCACCACCCCCCCAUCCUACCCAGCAUAACCCCGCUGAGGAACACAAUGGCAUGCCAGCAGGCUUGUUCCAGGUAAAUGUGGUUUGGAAAGACUAAAGAGAGCUGGGCACUUCAUCCUCCCUGGCCCUGGCGGGCGCAGGCAGGUGGCCUCGAAUCCUGACACCGCGAGGAGCAGUUUGUGCCAAGUGAUGUCUUCAUGCAUCGGGAAGGCAGAUAACAGAGGUGCAAGAUUUUUUAUUUAGCAGAAUAAGUUCUGAUAUUAAAAUUUAGGAUAUAAUUACAUCUUUGUUAUGUCUUCAUUUCAAACACCGCUCAGAAAAUAUUUUUUAAAAGCUCUUUUCAUUGUAUUUGGGGUUUUUGAAUCUUAAAGCCGAGUUAUGGCAGAAUUGCACAGUGACUGUAUCGCUAAUAAGUAGUUCAUCUAUCUUCAAAGGUUCCUUUAAAGUUCUCCUAAGUUAAUGUAAGAAGUAAAAUCUGCACUAAGGGAAAUGUAGGCUCCAUGCAAAUAUAUUUUACAU